GUGCAACGCCAUGCACCAUAGGGGCGCUCGGACCGGCCACAAGCUAUGGGUCGAGCACCCUAUUCACCGACGGCGCACGCGCGCGCCAAGGCCGUGCCCGUGGGCGUGGCGAGCACCAGGAGCGGCGCGUCCGUUGAUGCCGUGGCCGCAUCCAGUGGCACGGUGACCACCACGGGCACCACGUCCAGUGGCGCGGUGACCAUAACGGCCAGUGGCGCAACGGCCUAAACGACGGAGGUAGCGACGACCGUCCUAACAAAUCAGGCGGAGAAAGAAGGAAGGCCAGGCAUCUCAACGGCGGAGUAAAAUGAAAUCAUGGUCCCCCCAAUCUCGGGCAUGUCAAUUUUCGCCAAUUGUCCAAAUACUUGGGUGCAACUUUCAUUGCAUGAUAAACCUCACGACAGGUCAAUUCCGCCAUUUCUGCAAAUACUUGGGUGUAAGAUCUAUUUUCCCCUACGUGCUUCAUUUAUGGAUGUCCAUCAAUUUCGCCAAUUGUCCAAAUACUUGGGUUCAACACAUAGUUUGUUGCAUACGAGUAAAAUGUAGUGUUCAAGAAAGCA